AUGCCGGACAGGAGAGGAGCGACCCUGCUCGAGGACCUCCCUGAGGAAAUCAUUGACAGGAUACUCAUCCGAUUGCCGCCCAAGGAUGUCGGCCAGUGCCGUGCUGUCAGUACGUCAUGGUGCAGUGCCACCUCCACGCCCGAAUUUAUGCUCGAACACCACCACCGCCAGCCAUCGCUCCCCAUCAUCGACGGGCGCGGGCGGCCUGCCAGUUUCGUCGUCUUCCAAGGCCCUGGCGCCGGCGCCUCCAGUCAACAGCUCUGGCCCUUCAUCCCGGGUUUCAAGCACUACCGCAAAAAACCUCGGCUCUCAGUCGCCUGUGAUGGCUUCCUCAUCCUCAUAGAGGGAAAUGAAUACUACAUCUACAACCCGGUCAUCGACAAGCGUGCUCUCCUACCGGACCCUCGAGCUAGGAACGCUGGGUGGAGAGACAUAAUUGGUUUCUAUCGGCACCAGCCAACUGGAGAAUACAGGGUGCUCUGGGCCGUAUUCCGUCGUCUCUCGGUGGUCAGACCCAGCUUAUACAUCCUCGCAGUGGGAUCCGAUGAGCGGAGGCACGUCGUCAGAAUGCCAACAGUCUCGUCACCUUCCAUGAAACAUAAGUUAAUGAGCGUGUUGCGCUAUUUGAACCAUUGUCCACCAGCAGUUCACCACCGUGGCAGCCUGCACUGGUGUCCUUUUUCUGUUUGCGGUGUCGCCGACAUUACUGGAGGCAGCGGAGACAUUGUUGUGUUCGACACAGAAGCGGAGCUAUUCCGGUGGAUGUGCAGUCCUGACCAGCUGUACCCUAAUAGGAGCUUGUUCGAUAUGAAUGGGACACUUGGUUUCUGGGGCAGCUCAAUCGAGGAUGGUUGUUUGAGUUUCACCGCUUUGGAUAUUUGGGUGAUGCAGGACUACAAGGCUGGAAUCUGGGAUUUCAAGCACCGGAUUGACCUGGCAACGGUCGACGCAUCACGGCAACUUUAGCUGACCUCUUGCAAAAGGAAAAAGAAAACACCACUUCAUUCAAAAGUGCGAUGGUUCAAUGAUAUGGUUGCGCUUAACGAGCGUGAGCUGCUGAUCAUGUUUAACAGUAAGCAUGUGUUGCGUUGCGGCACUGAUGGCAAGGUCUUAGGUUUGGUGAAGAUUGGAGAGAGUCAAUACUGUAUGUCGCUUACUCCCCGCCGCUUCCAAGAGAGCAUUAUUCCAAUUCCGUCCCUUGAGAUGCAAGCAGAAGAGGAGACUUCCGUUCUCCACGGGGUGUCUCUGAAGGUUCAAAGACUCCUUCCCUGGCUUUCUUUGCCAUUGGGCCCAGAGCUUGUCUUUUUUUUCAGUUAUUGCUUUUGGCUGACAGAGUCGCACUCUAGCAUUUCCUUAGAUGUUAGUUACUGCAUUUUUAGUUGCGGAAAUGUUAUGGUUAGUCUGGAUCUCUCCUUGCAAGGCUGGUUGUUCAGAAUGCAAACUCUUGAGUAUUACUUGUUGCUUGUAGCACUCGGUUGA
rnacentral:rRNA from 1 species